CCCUAGCGCCGCCGCAGCCGGAGUCCGGAGCCCCGCGCCCGCCCGCGCCCGUCUCUCCGAUGGGCAACCUGCUCGGCGGGGUCGGCGUGCGCGAGCCCACCACCGUGGAGGACUGCGACUCCACCUGGCAGACGGACUCGGAGCCCGAGCCCGAGGAACCGGGGCCGGGCGGCGGCGAGGGCCCGGGGCGGGAGCCCGCGCAGCCCCCGGAGCCCCCGGAGCCCCCGGAGCGAGCCGGCGGCCGGCCCCGCGCCAGCCCCGCGCCCGACCGGGACGCCGAGGCGGCGGGCGCCGAGCAGGAGGCUGAUUCCACUGAAGUAUCUGCCAAACCAAAGAGAAGUUUUUAUGCUGCGAGGGAUUUGUACAAAUACCGACACCAGUACCCACAGAACUUCAAAGAUAUCCGAUAUCAAAAUGACUUGAGCAACCUUCGUUUUUAUAAGAAUAAAAUUCCAUUUAAGCCUGAUGGUGUUUACAUUGAAGAAGUUCUCAGUAAGUGGAAAGGAGAUUACGAGAAGCUGGAAUACAGCCACACCUACAUCCAAUGGCUUUUCCCCCUGAGAGAACAAGGCUUGAACUUUUACGCUAAAGAACUAACUACGUAUGAAAUUGAGGAAUUCAAGAAAACAAAAGAGGCCAUUAGAAGAUUCCUCUUGGCUUAUAAAAUGAUGCUGGAAUUUUUUGGAAUAAAACUGAUAGAUAAAACUGGAAAUGUCGCUCGGGCUGUUAACUGGCAGGAAAGGUUUCAGCACCUGAACGAGUCUCAGCACAACUAUUUAAGGAUCACUCGUAUUCUGAAAAGCCUCGGCGAGCUUGGAUAUGAAAGUUUUAAAUCUCCUCUUGUAAAAUUUAUCCUUCAUGAGGCUCUCGUGGAAAAUACCAUCCCCAAUAUUAAACAGAGCGCCCUGGAGUAUUUCGUGUACACAAUUAGAGACAGAAGGGAAAGGAGAAGACUCCUGCGCUUCGCCCAGAAACAUUACACGCCCUCGGAGAAUUUUAUCUGGGGACCACCCAGGAGGGAACAGCCCGAGGGCAGCAAAGCCCCGAAGACCCCCGCCCCGCCCACCUCGGGGCAUCACAGCCAGACGUCUAUGCACAAAAAACCCAAGGACUCCAAAAAUCCCUCUGCAGCUGGGCGUGUAAAUAGCAAAGCUGCCGAAGACAAAAAAGUGACACCUAGGGAGCCGGAGGAGGAGACAGACUGGCCCAGCUCAGAGGCCGGCAGCGAGGCUGCCGGGUCAGGAGACCCAGAGAGAGAGGGCGAUGCCGACAAUUCCAGUCCUCAACCAGAAGAGACAAUUGCGCAUGCGCUGGAGAAAAAGGAGAGUGCGUCUCCCUCUGAAAAAGAUGAAGAGCGUGAAAACCGUAACAAGGACUGUGAGAGUCCCGGAGAGACAGGUUCCCACGACGACGCACUCUUACAGUGAAUUAUCAGGAAGCCCACAGACCCGUGUGGGUGAGGAGCAGAGGCCACGUUUCGGAGGGUAGCCGGCUGUUGGUGAUCUCUAAGCAUUUAGUUGUCACUUGGUUUUGAUUUUGGAUGACAGUGAAUUUAAUAUUUAACCAGAAGUCUGAAGACAGGACCCAAUUCAUGAAUGCAUUCCGUAACACUUUGGGGACGUGAGUUUUCGAAUCCAGUACACAACAAUUACUUUUAAAUUCUUUUCAGUGUAUCUGGAAAUAACCAUGUAGUCUUCGAUACAGCAAAUAAAUUCUUUGGAGAGACUCCGCUCUACAUGAAGAAAAUCAAGUGGAUAAUUUCGUUAGGUUGCCACCCUUUGCCCGUUUUAUGGAUUCCUUUGUUUUUAAGCUGCGAGAAAGAAUUUGGUCUUCUCAGAUGUAUUCGGAAGAAAUUGGGAGUUUUCUCAUUACAGCACCUCAGCAUGCUUAUUUUUAGUUUCUGUGUUCACGUGGAGGAUACAAUUAACUGCUUCGUUUUAUGGCCCAAACUCUUGCCUGGAGGUUGAGUUCAGAGACGGGGAGGUGGCUGAGAACCAGAGUGGGCGUCCUGGUGAAGGGGCACGUACACUGGGCUGCAUCCUCUCCAGUAGAGGAGGGGUCUCCGGAGCCUCCCCUGGAUGCCGAGGGUGUCGGACCCCGUGAUCGCUGUCUUCUGAGGAAGGUGGGCCACCUUGGACUUCAUGCACAGUUUCACUGGGUAUCAAUUUUCAUAAAAUACCUGUUAUAAUUCAUUCGUCACCAUUUUGCAGUUGUUUAGGAAAUUGUGAGCAGUUGGAUACCUGCUAUGUAAAUUACAGCUGAAUCUUUCUAUCUCGGGAAACAUUGAAAUACCAGUUCUGCCUACCCCUCUCGCCAGUUCAAAACUUCUGAUUUCCAUCAAAAAUUAUUUGGGGUUGUUCUUUCAGAGGUCUCUAUAUAAAAUUCUCCAUAAAAUGAUUUAGUGUAAAGACGAAGUGAAAGGGAAAAGGCACCACUGCGCACUUGUUAUGCUGAGAGACCUUUUUUAGACAAAUCAGAAACCUUAUAUAUUUUAAUAUGAAAAAUAUGUUGAAGCUAUAAAGUUUAUCAUAUUUUUGUUUUUAAGUUAUAAUGGAGUUUGUGGAACCGUUACAUUAACUAGAGAGAUUCGUUGUGUAAUAAGCUUUGGUCCUAAGAAGUGUCCAAGGUCUGCAGUCAUUGGUCAGGUGAACACCUUUUUCAGUGCUGGUGGGUUUAGUUUCAUGUGGAGAAGAGGAAAAUAACAAUCGAAACAAAAAAUUAGAAACAGUCACUAGAAACUCACUAUAGAAGUAAAGAUGUAACUGACUGUAGGUUUGUGGAGUGCCAGAAUUUACUGGAAUGAGGAACAGAUGAGGUUGCAGAAGCUUUACGGUGGGAACGUGCUCGGUGUUAUCCGUGCCAGGGAGAUCUGGACUGCUGUGAAUGGGAAGCAAUGCCAUUCAUGCUCGCAUUUUCAGCCUGGAUUCCGCUUACUCCGCAGUAGAUGGAAACCUUUCACAGACUGAGAGAAAUAAUCACGUGAUGCGCCACCAGGUUGAAUUCCUCUGCCCGUGGUUCUACUGACAGGAAGUUAAGUGGAGGCAGUGGCUGCAGAGACGGGAAGGAGGUCCCGCGCUAGGCUGUUUCUAACCAUGUGACUGUACCCCACGCCGGGAGAGCGAUGGCGUCUUCCUCGUGUGGCACCACCGUUAAGAGCAACAAACCAGAGCGAGGAUUUGACAAGCGUUUUGUUCUUUGUCCUUUUCUGCUUUUGUUUUUGUUUUGCGGUACGCGGGCCUCUCACUGUCGUGGCCUCUCCCGUUGCGGAGCACAGGCUCGGGACGCGCAGGCUCAGCGGCCAUGGCUCACGGGGCCCAGCCGCUCCGCGGCACGUGGGAUCUUCCCGGACCGGGGCACGAACCCGCGCCCCCUGCAUCGGCAGGCGGACUCUCAACCACUGCGCCACCAGGGAAGCCCUGUCCUUUUUAUAAGAAAGUUGUUUCCGUGUUUCCCAAGUGAGCUGUCCACUCCUCUUCCGUGUUACCUAAGAAGAUAGACGGCCAACUGGGUUCAGUCACCGCUUCAGCUGGGAAACUAUUGUGUCCUGUGUAUUUUGAGUAUUUCAGGAAAAUGGGUAGAUUCUUAGAAAGAUGUGUGCUUUCCUUCCUGCAUGAGUGCUGCCUCUCCAGCAGCCGUGGGCCUUCUCUGUGCUCUGUCAUCUCCUGCAGGAUGAAUUACAGAACGCCGUGCACGUCUGUGCACACCAAUACCAUGUGUAUGUGGUAGGAGCUGUAACCAGUUUCUGGAUCUGUAUGGUACUAUGAAACACUUAUUUUAUAAUCCUGUAACUGUAUGGCAGUGUUAUGCCAGAAAAUGUAUAAAGUGCAGUAGUGUCUGUUGUUUACUGCUGUAUUUAAAAAUAUCGUUUCUGAAUCUAUAUAUUUAGAGUUCUGUUAUUUUUAAUAACUAUUGCCAAAUAUACAUCCUGUAAAACGACCAAAAGCCACUUCAUCUUACUUAACAUUUUAGCAUUAUGCUGAUUUUGCAUGAUUAAAAUAUUUUUAAAGAGCUGGAACAAAUGACUUUGCUGUUUUUCUAUGAUUAGACUUUUUUUAUGGUUAUGGUAUGAGAUCAACAUUAUUUCCCUUUUA